rnacentral:misc_RNA from 1 species
AUCACCUCUCAAGCCUAGCUUGUUGUUGGAUUUAGGUUUUGCUUUAGGCAUGACCGACCCCAAAGAUAAUGACGGCGUCUGUGAGGACCCCAGUACACUGAGCUUUCUAAGCACGUAUUAGGUGGAAGUCUAGGCCCGUGCCUUACUUACAUUUUAACAAGGUUGACCUCGGAUCAGGUAGGAAUACCCGCUGAACUUAA